GAUGAACGCUAGCGGCAGGCCUAAUACAUGCAAGUCGAACGAUACUUUCCAGCUUGCUGGAGAGGAAAGUGGCGCACGGGUGCGUAACGCGUAUGCAACCUACCUUCAUCAGGGGGAUAGCCCGGAGAAAUCCGGAUUAAUACCGCAUAAAAUCACAGGAUGGCAUUAUCCAAUGAUCAAACAUUUAUGGGAUGGAGAUGGGCAUGCGUGUCAUUAGCUAGUUGGCGGGGUAACGGCCAACCAAGGUGACGAUGACUAGGGGAUCUGAGUGGAUGGCCAUCCACACUGGUACUGAGACACGGACCAGACUCCUACUGGAGGCAGCAGUAAGGAAUAUUGGUCAAUGGAGGUAACUCUGAACCAGCCAUGCCGCGUGCAGGAAGACUGCCCUAUGGGUUGUAAACUGCUUUUAUCCGGGAAUAAACCUAAAUACGUGUAUUUAGCUGAAUGUACCGGAAGAAUAAGGAUCGGCUAACUCCGUGCCAGCCGCCGCGGUAAAAC
rnacentral:rRNA from 1 species